rnacentral:rRNA from 1 species
CCUACGGGUGGCAGCAGUGGGGAAUAUUGCACAAUGGGGGAAACCCUGAUGCAGCGACGCAGCGUGAAGGAUGAAGGAUCUCGGGAUGUAAACCUCUAUCAGUAGGGAAGAAAAUGACGGUACCUGACUAAGUAGCCCCGGCUAACUACGUGCCGGCAGCCGGGGUAAUACGUAGGGGGCAAGCGUUAUCCGGAUUUACUGGGUGUAAAGGGAGCGUAGAGGGUAUGGCAAGUCUGAUGUGAAAACCUGGGGCCCAACCCCGGGACUGCAGUGGAAACUGGCGAACUUGAGUGCAGGAGAGGCAAGUGGAAUUCGUGGUGUAGCGGUGAAAUGCGUAGAUAUUAGGAGGAACACCGAUGGCGAAGGCAGCUUGCUGGACGGUGACUGACGUUGAGGCUCGAAAGCGUGGGGAUCAAACAGGAUUAGAUACCCGAGUAGUC